rnacentral:rRNA from 1 species
ACAGCAGCCGCCGCGGUAAUACGUAGGUGGCAAGCGUUAUCCGGAAUUAUUGGGCGUAAAGCGCGCGUAGGCGGUUUUUUAAGUCUGAUGUGAAAGCCCACGGCUCAACCGUGGAGGGUCAUUGGAAACUGGAAAACUUGAGUGCAGAAGAGGAAAGUGGAAUUCCAUGUGUAGCGGUGAAAUGCGCAGAGAUAUGGAGGAACACCAGUGGCGAAGGCGACUUUCUGGUCUGUAACUGACGCUGAUGUGCGAAAGCGUGGGGAUCAAACAGGAUUAGAUACCCGGGUAGUCCCUGUCUCUUAUAA